AGGAAUUAUAACUGCCAUGGCCUCUAUGGCACCUUUGUCACAGGAGCAUGUGCCUGAAGAUGGCUUAUGUAGCCAUAGGAAAAGCAUGAUGCCGAAAGACUUUGCUGACAUGGACAUAUUCACUGGAGAGGCCAUCGAUGUUGUCAUCGGAUCCUCAAGAGAUGACGGAAAGGU